CUUCUUCAUUUAAUUUUUAUUUUAAUUCAACAUCGAGGUCACAAACAUCUUUAUUAAUAAGAUCUUACUAAAAAUAUUAUGCUGUUAUCCCUAAGGUAAUUAAUUCUUUUAAUAAUAAUUUUAUAUAACUUAUUCUUCUAACUCAUUUAUUAAUGUCACUUAAUUAAUUAGAGUUUAUUUAAUCUAACCAUCCUCCCAACUAAAUAUUU
rnacentral:rRNA from 1 species